rnacentral:rRNA from 2 species
UCGGAUCAGGUAGGAAUACCCGCUGAACUUAAGCAUAUCAAUAAG